rnacentral:rRNA from 1 species
UACGUAGGGCGCAAGCGUUAUCCGGAAUUAUUGGGCGUAAAGAGCUCGUAGGCGGUUUGUCGCGUCUGCCGUGAAAGUCCGGGGCUCAACUCCGGAUCUGCGGUGGGUACGGGCAGACUAGAGUGAUGUAGGGGAGACUGGAAUUCCUGGUGUAGCGGUGAAAUGCGCAGAUAUCAGGAGGAACACCGAUGGCGAAGGCAGGUCUCUGGGCGUAACUUGAACGCUGAGGAGCGAAAGCAUGGGGAGCGAACAGG